CUUUUAUGAUCGUGGUCUUUUUUUUUAGGGUUUUUCUCCCACCUAUUUAUCGCUGACAUUGUUCGCGCUAUAGUUAGAGUUUCGCUAUUUUUGAGUAACUAGGGUUGGAUGACGCAUAUGUUCUUUUCACAAACUUCCACCGCUUCAUUUCAUGCUUCCUCCUCUCCUCUCUAAAAUUUUCAUAUUACGCAACCACCAGAUUUUAGUGAAAUCCGCUACUUGAGAAUAAGUGUCAUGGAGGUUACACUCCUCAAAUCCCCUGCUUCAUCUCACCUCUCUCCGCUACUCUCUCUUCUUAAUUCUCUCAAGUUCUUUCUCACUCUAUCUCUCUUUCUUUUAAAUUAAUCAAUAAUACCAAGAACAAUGCAUAGGUUUUUUUAAGAUGUGGAUCUUCGUUUUAUGGGAUACUUUUUUUUUCUUUUCUCUUCUUUGGAUGAGAAUUUUUUUUCAUUUUUUUGAUGUAUUUUAUUUAUCAGCUUAAUCUGAUUAAAUUGUCAUUAUUUAUUAAAUUUCUUAUAUUUUUUGUAGCUGCUUUCCUAUUGGAACUAGGGAUGGCAAGCUUGAAUUUUUUUAUUUUUUUGCCUUUAAUAAUUUUCUAUUUUGGUUGAAGAUAUUGAUUGUAAGCUUGAUCAGGUUUUGUAAAUUUAGUGUUUUGUGGUUGAUGACAAAAUUGUGACAUUUGAUUAGAUCGCUAGUUUAAGAAAGCACAUAAGAGCAGUACAUGUUUAAGAUUUGAUUCUUUAAAUCUAGCGUGUCAUUUUUUUUCCUAUUUCCAUCAUCCAGUGUUUGAUUCUGGUCAAUAAAUCCAAUUCGACAAUGUUUAUUCUUGAAGUGGUAGACUUAGAAGAGUAGCAAAAAUUUCAUUUCAUGUAUUUUGAGAUCUCUCAUCUUCUCUUUGCUAGCUAUUGGAGCUUUUUGUUGUGGUUGAAAUGUUAUCCAGCUCAACCCUUCCUGCACUAUUGGGGCUAGUGAAUAGGUUCUUACAAUUAUUAGCUAUGUUUUUUUUUGUGGUGAAUACUAGAUCUUAAUCUAAUGUCUUCUAGCUCUACUAUUGUACUAACAAUUUCUGGGUGUUGCUUUCUUAUCUCACAUCUAAUUUCAACAGCCAUAUUUAUUUCCAUGGAGAUUAUGUUUGUUUAAUAUCAUGAUUGGAGCUGCUUUCUAGAGCUAAACUUUCUUACUUCAAUCAUUGCAAUUCAAAUGAAUAGGAAAAGGUAAUACAUGACACGUGUUAGCUUUAUUAAUUUGCUUCUGAUUUCGUGUUUUUUCUAUUUGCAUGCUUCCACUUUCUACAUCUUUGAAAUGGCAUGGUUGCAUGUAGGCAUCUUGGCUAGAUUCUUUUACCCAUAAAUUAGGCUACCAUUCUUCAUGUUAUUGGACGAUAUCCAACAUCAUGUUCUAGCCUAAUUCCAUGACUCUUUCUCUUUGACCUUUUUUAAAAUUUAUUGUUUCCAAUCUUUAUUUUUCCCUUAAUGGAUUUUUUGCUCUUUUUGAUACCUGUUUUAUUCUUUUUUUUAUGUGCUUGUAUAUCGAGAUUGGCUAGGGUAAACACUUGACAAGAUUUGUGGCCUUCACAUGCACAGUCGCGAGCCUAUUUUCUUUCUAUCUCUCUCAGGCGAACAAACGAUUGUAGUUACUCAUGAUCAUUUAAUUCAUUUUUAAAGUAGAGGCUGAUUUUUUUCUCUAAUUUUUUUUUUUGCUGAUGACAGAAUGGUUAUGAUAGAAUCUAGUAGGGGUAUUUUUGCAUUUGAUUACCUUUACAAAAGAACCCUUCCAAGUUGUUGCAAGAUCUCCUCCCCUGAUAACUUGCACUUGAGAUUCUAGAGGAUCUAUUCCACAAGAUCAAGAAAGCAGUCACAAUUAGGAAGCAUCUGGUGAGGAACAAGAAUGACAAGAAUUUCAAGUUGAAAUUGAUUUUGGUGGUAAGCAAGAUUCAACUCCAUGUUACGACAAGAAAGCAAGAGGCUUCCUCUCAAUUGGAAAUAGGUUUGAUAAUAACCAACUAGAUUUGCAUUUAGUCAUGCCAUCAAUUAGUCGAUUUUUCUCACAUGAUCUGAUGGCAUUAGAUACUUUCUACCAAAUGUUUUCCUCCAACACGUUUGCUGAUCGAGAUUAAGUGAAUCCAGGAUACCAUCUAUGGUCCUCACGAGCCGAAAUAGGAUAUACAAUUUUGGAAUGACAAACAAUAAAUUUUACCAAAACUGGAAUGCCUUUGUUAUUGAUCAUGACCUUGGAGAAGGAGAGACCCUUUUCUUUAUGUCUCAAUCUUGUAAUUCACUUGCUGUUUUGGUCUUUAGAAUGAAUGGACUUGAAAUCAUGUAUCCAUGGCAUCAUAAGUUCCACAUUUAGUUUAUUUAUUGCUAUAACAUGUACAAUUUUCUUUAAUUACUGUUACUUGUAUUUCCACUUAUUACAUUUAAUAACGUUAAUUUUCUUAUUAAUUUUUAAAUUAUAUACACACU